rnacentral:rRNA from 1 species
UGGGGAAUAUUGGACAAUGGGCGCAAGCCUGAUCCAGCAAUGCCGCGUGAGUGAUGAAGGCCUUAGGGUUGUAAAGCUCUUUCGCACGCGACGAUGAUGACGGUAGCGUGAGAAGAAGCCCCGGCUAACUUCGUGCCAGCAGCCGCGGUAAUACGAAGGGGGCUAGCGUUGUUCGGAAUUACUGGGCGUAAAGGGCGCGUAGGCGGCCUGUUUAGUCAGAAGUGAAAGCCCCGGGCUCAACCUGGGAAUAGCUUUUGAUACUGGCAGGCUUGAGUUCCGGAGAGGAUGGUGGAAUUCCCAGUGUAGAGGUGAAAUUCGUAGAUAUUGGGAAGAACACCGGUGGCGAAGGCGGCCAUCUGGACGGACACUGACGCUGAGGCGCGAAAGCGUGGGGAGCAAACAGAUUAGAUACCCUGUAGUCCACGCCGUAAACGAUGAAUGCUAGACGUCGGGGUGCAUGCACUUCGGUGUCGCCGCUAACGCAUUAAGCAUUCCGCCUGGGGAGUACGGCCGCAAGGUUAAAACUCAAAGGAAUUGACGGGGUCAUAGCUGUUUCCU